rnacentral:lncRNA from 1 species
GGUGGUAGUCGAGGAGGUUCGUGAGACUCAAACUAGGAUUGGUAGCCGAAGGUGGCUGAUGUAUUGGCAAUAAUUAUAGGAGUCGACAAGGAGAGUCGACUGGUAUCUAGUUGGUAAGAUUAAAUAGAUCUAACUAUCUAGCCUAUUGAUUGAAGAUGAUCUAGCUUGAUGCGGGUCAACUCAAGUGUGAAGCCCUUGUGCCUAGUGGAUAAAGGUUAAUAAACCCUGCCUCCCAAUGGACAUUUAUCUUUUGAAAAGUUGGUUAGGGGCUAUGGUCCUAACAUGUGGUAUCAGAGCGAGGUUACAGGUUUGAAACCCAGCAGGCCCCCAGAGCGUUAAAAAAAAUAUUAUUGGGGAGAGAAAUUGUUGUGCAAGGUUCCAAUGUACAUUUGGUGAGACCUAGGGAGAGGAUGGU